rnacentral:rRNA from 1 species
CCUACGGGAGGCAGCAGUGGGGAAUAUUGGGCAAUGGGCGCAAGCCUGACCCAGCAACGCCGCGUGAAGGAAGAAGGCUUUCGGGUUGUAAACUUCUUUUGUCAGGGAAGAGUAGAAGACGGUACCUGACGAAUAAGCCACGGCUAACUAUGUGCCAGCAGCCGCGGUAAUACGUAGGUGGCAAGCGUUGUCCGGAUUUACUGGGUGUAAAGGGCGUGUAGCCGGGUUGACAAGUCAGAUGUGAAAUCCUGCGGCUUAACCGCAGAACUGCAUUUGAAACUGUUGAUCUUGAGUACUGGAGGGGCAGACGGAAUUCCUGGUGUAGCGGUGAAAUGCGUGGAUAUUAGGAGGAACACCAGUGGCGAGGGCGGUCUGCUGGACAGCAACUGACGGUGAGGCGCGAAAGCGUGGGGAGCAAACAGGAUUAGAUACCCGUGUAGC